rnacentral:misc_RNA from 1 species
AUCCCCAUUUUAUCAGAGCAUCCAGCAAUUGCAUGUGGCUGGACCACAACGAGGUGACUCCCUGAAGCAGCCUCUUGCUUGUCGUGAUUCACCAAUGUGACGCCGUAAGGAACCUUAUGGAAUAUAGUCUAGCCCCUCUCUGUCACCUGUGCGGCCUCCUACCUGUCGCAAAGAAGCCAUUAAGCCUUCUCAUGAUUUUGAUCAGGGUUUGAGAGGGGUGAGGUGAGAGAGGGGGCUAGAAUGGGUGGGGAUGGAAGAGGUGUAGAGAUUAAGGGUAGUUGAAG